CAGCCGUAAACUAUGCGCGUUAGGUGUACUGGUGACCACGAGUCUCCGGGGUGCCGAAGGGAAACCGUGAAACGUGCCGCCUGGGAAGUACGGUCGCAAGGCUGAAACUUAAAGGAAUUGGCGGGGGAGCACCACAACAGGUGGAGCCUGCGGUUUAAUUGGAUUCAACGCCGGACAUCUCACCGGAUAAGACAGCUGAAUGAUCGUCAAUCUGAAGGUUUUACAUGACUAGCUGAGAGGAGGUGCAUGGCGUCAGUGAU
rnacentral:rRNA from 1 species